UAAACCAUUGUGCUGCGCUGACACCU
rnacentral:sRNA from 1 species